AACCACUCACAAGCCUCUCCACCCCCUCCCCCUUCCACAAGGGUCCCUGAGCCUUGGCAGGGACGCCAUCGUUGUCUGACUAUUCUCCAACUCAAGCAGGACACUGAACCCUCAUGUUCUCCCAUGCCUGUCUCCAGGGGCUGUUGGCAAGCCUAGGUUGAGGUUUUUUUCCUCCCUCUUCUUACCAAACACAAACGAGGAAACGGUCGAAACCAGAUGGGAACAUGUCCCGAGGGUAAUAAGCCUAUGUAAACACGCAUGUGAGAAGCACUGUGGCUGGUGUGAUUCGCCUCCUGUGGAGCGAGCCUACCGUCCAAUCAGCAACCCAUAGCCACUACCACACUAGCUGGCGCCUCUGGCUGGCACUUCCGCAGCGAGGAAUGUGGGACCCACAACUGGGUGCUUUAGGUCUUAAUUCUCCCCCCCCGCCCCCCCCCCCCCCGGCACAGUUUGCGGCCACUUCUGGCACCAUAGGAGGAAGUUAGCUGGCUGGGAGGAGACACUUUGAGGCCAUUCUAGAUUUACUUCUCCAAGUCUCUCAGCCGAGCUCCCAACAUCAACAACAGGGUCUCACCAUCAGCUCCGAAUGCAACCAGACACUGGCCAUGGCCUUUGUGACCCACUGGCCUUCAGGGUUCUGUAGCCAACAACCCCUGGGGGAUAACCCACUCCUGAGAUUCCCAAGUAACCCCUGUAUGACCUCUGGGAGCACCCGUGUUACCUUCCGUGGGCUCUCACAGUUACAGGUGCAGGCUAUUGCAACUUCGAAUCUCCCGAGUUCCACAUCAACACUGGGCUUUGCAGACUCAGAGAACUGCCUCCCGGACCCCGGCUUGCUUCCUCAGGGCAGACCCCACCCCACCCAUCAGGCAGAGACCACUCCACACCACCUGGAAGAAGACUACCCAGGCCUGGCCACGAUUUCCAUAAAUCCUGUAGGGGCAAAUCACCAUGGCAAAAAACGUCCUGUGCAAACACCGCAUCCACCUGCUGCCUCCCCCUCCCCCAACCUCCCUCAACCUCAUCGCUCUCAUUCCCCACAUCAGGUCCCAGAGACAAACUGAGGCGUGACUCCACCGAAGCUGACCGAGCCGGCAACCCCGGUGCUUCUUGUCCACCAACAAUCUCUGGGUUGCUCCUAAAGAAACGCAAGUCACAACCACCGUACUGCGUUGGGCCUGGUACUACCGGUUAUGGGCUAAGGCUGCCGACCGGAGUGUGAACUGCUGCUGGAGGGAAUUAGGAACCACCCCGGGGGCAAGAGGGAGAUCGGAUGUGGCAGAAGCUGGGCAGUCGUCCCCUCCCAGACAUUAAUCCCGAGAGAGUAAAGAAAAGUGCCCAGUACAAAGGCCUUUACAGUGUCGUUAUUUAUAACCGACUUGGGGAGGGAGGCCAGCCAAGCCCCACCACGCGGCGGGCUCGUAAAUCCAGGCACCAUUCCGCAGCCGCAGCCGAGCGCAGCAAUCCCUCCCUCCCGAUCUGCUGCGCAGGCAUCGGUAGCUACAGGGGUGGGUGGGGAAAGGUAGGGCGAGGUGGGGGCGAGCCAGGCACCUACCAUCCAACUUGACCGUGGAACUUUCGCUGACUUGAUUCAUCUUCGGCCCUCCAGCAUCUCUUGGCAGGAAAGGAAUCACUGAAGAUGUUUGAAAAAAGAAAAAGAAAAAAAACGUCCUGGGGCAUCAUGGGUGAUUCUUCCAAGCCAGGAAUUCGGCUUGGAGCCAAUAACGCGGAAACAUAUAUAGGUAGGGGAGUUUUGAACCAUCCAGAUGAGGCUCUAGGGAGAAUCCUCUAGGACUUAAACGCCCCCACCCCACCCCACGCCCGGGGGAACAGUCUUUCCUUUCCCCUGUAGUGAUUUGUCGCGGAGUAUGGUGGAGGCAAUUGAUCUGCGAUGCCUAAAUGUUAGGUGCACGCAGGGGUGAGGCCCUGGGAAGGUGAUGUGCUGACGGCAUUUUCCCAGGAAGGGUUUGAGACUGCUGCUGCUGGAUCCUCCUCUUAAGUUACUUAAAUGCUCUGAGCCAUGGUCUCUGCUAGCUCUGGGUAGAGAGGCCUCUGGAUGCUCACAGCCUUGAGGUCCAGACACUGACACCUCCCCUCUCCCAUUAACCCACCCCCACCCCGGCACCUGCAGGAUCGGGCUUGGAGCCGAGUGGAGAGGCAUCCUUUCCCACCACAUCCCACUCUGGAGGCCGCCAGUCCCAUUUCACGACUGAGGGUCAUGACAACUGUGGAGGCCCCCCUGCGGCCUGCAGCCUUGCCCUGUCAAAUGAAUGGUGUGACUGUGGACGCAGAGGCUCACUAGGAAGAUAGCUGCGCAACGAUGAGGACGUAUGAGUGGGCCUCUGUCCCCUGGGCCGGUGGAAGUCACCACAGACCCAUCAGACAGAGAGGUAUUCUGUCUGAUGAAGGGGCGCUCCUCUACAUGCCUGCUGGAUGCUCAACCUAGGGCUGCGUCCGUGCAAGCCGACCAGGACAGAACCCACACAGUACAGAAUGGAGCGUAGCUCUGUCGUUAUGGGGUGAUUUUGCACCCUUUAACCAAGAGGGCCUGGGGGAGCAAGGGCUGCUAAGAGCACUACAGAGCCCAACGUAAGCUGCACGUGGCGGGGAUUGGGGUGGACAUCUGCUCUGACCUCCCCAGGGGAGCAGGGUGGUUUGCAGGGAGUUCACACGUGAGGCCGGAGGGCGGGUGUUCCUGAGGAUCGAGGACACGUGGGCACUAGUGAGGCCAGCGGGCACACUCGGGCAUGGCUGCGGCCCGACCGCCAGGGGGCGCCCCACACAUGCUCCAUUUCUCCCUUAGCUGGGAACCUCCUACAGGGUCUGGAGCCUAUGAGACCAGGAGCCCACUGCCUCAUUGGCAGUGUAGUUUGUUACUAAAGGAGUUGCCACAUUCCUGUGGUGUCUGUGGCGGACUCCUAGUUGUCUCAUAGCCCCAUUUCCCAGCUUCCCGUGAAAUCUUGGCUGUGCUCUGGGGUCCCCAUCUCCUCAUUCUCUGGGGUCAGGCUCCUGGAGACAAGGGAGAGCAAGCAUCUUUAACCACAAGGGCAAGGCAAGUGCCACCACCUAAGGGUGGUGGAGCGACAAGCCCACAGCCACCCCAGGGACCCCAACAGCUAAAAGUUCUACCUUGCUUUUUCCAGCACAAAACACCCAGCGGGUAGGAGCGACUACACCAGGGUGGGUGGGUGACCUGCCACCCUACUCCCCUCCAGGGUCAUUCUGCACACCGCAAUGCCAUUUCCCAACCUUACUGCGCAGGGAGGCAAACGGGCAGAUAUUCCCUCACUCUUCUCUUGGGUGGGUGGGGGGUUCCUGCUAUGCCCUAUCAGCUGAAAGUGCUCAGGAGGAGGAAGGUGGGGACGAUGGGCACAGGGCCACACCUGUUGUGGAGAGGAAACCCACGUUUCCGGCCAGCAGCCCUGCUCCAAGGCCUUGGCAGAUCAGCAGCUCAAGUCCUUUGUGGGACCCUCCACUCCCUCCCAGGGUUUUGAGAAACUCCUCCCAGCCCCGGCUCCUUUGGACUUCCUGGUUUGCCCUGUCCUGUUCCAGUUGACUGGACCAGGGGAGAUGUUUGCUCUGAUAAGGCCUAGUUGGAACUUUUAGGAGGUAGGAUGGAGCUAAAAUGACUGCCGCUGAGAUUUCUGGACACUUCCAGGGCUCCACCAGGCUUCCUCAAGUCUUCAGAGGAACUAGCUGGGACUUCCCUAGGGCACCUGCUGUCUCCACAGCCUUUAAGUGGACAGGUCUGUUGCCCCAGGAACAGAGUGCCUGUAAGAGCGCAGAGAAGUAGCUAAAGAAAAGGACUGGCCUUUUCUUUACAGUGGGAGGGACUAUAGGAAGUCCCAAGGUCCUUUAAGUGGUUAAUACUGUCUUCUUGGGGCUGGAGAGAUGGCUCAGUGGUUAAGAGCACUGACUGCUCUUCCCAAGGUCCUGAGUUCAAAUCCCAG
rnacentral:lncRNA from 1 species